rnacentral:rRNA from 1 species
UAGCAUAAUCAUUAGUUUAUUAAUUGUGAACUGGAAUGAAUGAUUGGACAAGAGAGGCACUGUUUCGGUAUUAUUAAGUGAAUUUUAUUUGUUAGUGAGAAAGCUAACAUUAUUAUGAGGGACGAGAAGACCCUGUAGAUCUUUAUUUAAAAUUAAUUUAGGAUUUGUUUAAUAUGGUUUUUGAUUUAGUUGGGGUAACUAUAAUAUAAAAUUAUUAUUAUAUACGGAAUACUUAAUGGUAAUUGGUUGACCUAUGUUUAAUAGGAUGAUGAUUAAGUUACCUCAGGGAUAACAGCAUAAUUUAAUUUAGGAGUUCUAAUCUAUAAUUAAGNNNGUGACCUCGAUGUUGAAUA